GACGAACGCUGGCGGCGUGCUUAACACAUGCAAGUCGAACGGAAAGGCCCUGCUUGCAGGGUACUCGAGUGGCGAACGGGUGAGUAACACGUGGGUGAUCUGCCCUGCACUUCGGGAUAAGCCUGGGAAACUGGGUCUAAUACCGGAUAGGAGCCAUUUUUAGUGUGAUGGUUGGAAAGUUUUUUCGGUGUAGGAUGAGCUCGCGGCCUAUCAGCUUGUUGGUGGGGUAAUGGACUACCAAGGCGGCGACGGGUAGCCGGCCUGAGAGGGUGGACGGCCACAUUGAGGCUGAGAUACGGCCCAGACUCCUACGGGAGGCAGCAGUGGGGAAUAUUGCACAAUGGGCGCAAGCCUGAUGCAGCAACGCCGCGUGGGGGAUGACGGCCUUCGGGUUGUAAACUCCUUUCGCUAGGGACGAAGCUUUUUGUGACGGUACCUAGAUAAGAAGCACCGGCUAACUACGUG
rnacentral:rRNA from 1 species